rnacentral:lncRNA from 1 species
UGAUGGCCCUUUUUGAUCAUGGCUUUUCCUCAGCCGGAGCUCUUUGGCUUAUGUUGGAAAAGUGGAUAUCAUCCUAAGAAUGAUACAUAUUUUCUUUUAUGCAGAAAGAAGAUCUUUAUCGUCGUGAAAUGACAAUAAUAUAUGUAUUUCUUUAGUUGCCUUCGUCGUCUAACGAAAGGUCUUGUUGAGCUGUUUUGACAGAUGAAUGAUUCUGGUCUUGUCAAAUACGUGACUGUAUCUCGUCUCUGAUCAUUUACUAAUCGAAAAUUUCUUCUCAAUGCGCGUCGAGGUCGUUUUCUUCAUCUUGUUCUAAGUGAUUCAAGAUAGUACUCGCGACUUCGUGGGCUUGCGAUCUGUUCUUUAGGACAUCUAGCAUCCCUCAGACUAACGCCAUCUGGCGUUGAUAUUCGUUUGGAUGCGUGAGCUGAGCUCGUCGUCGGUCUGCUCUGGUUUGAGGAUGUUAUCAGCAGAUCCGAUUUGGCUGAGGUCGGAAUCGAGUCUCAUGCUUUGUUUCUCAUUUCUGAUCCGACAAGAUCAAUGUCAUCGUGGUAGUAUCGGACACCAUAUAAGAUGGAUCCAUUUUCGUGCUUACAAGCCUUAGAUCGGGUUCCAAGUAAGGAUGUUUUUCGUUUCUCUUCCCCACAGUCGGUGCCAAAAUGUAGAUCCAAAAAUCUACACUAAGCAUUUGAUAGUGUUUGAAUGUAAAAACUAGGGAAGAAAAAGGAUGUGGGCAACGAUAUCCUUAGAACACAAAGAUGUAGUCAGGUAUGAGUCGACAAAAAUGGACUAUAUUCGGAGAUCAAAUAUCAAGGAGAUAUCGGGGAGGGAAGGAUCGUGACUGAACUCGGGAUCGAACUGCCUACGUACCUGUCAAGGGAUCAAGUCUAAACGUAGUUCGGUUAUAAUCAUCUCGAGAUCAAGUCUUGAUCAAGAUGUCGUGUUCAUCGGUCUUGAGCAAGACGUUGGGUUGUCGAUAUCGAGCAAGACGUCGGGUUGUCGUUAUGAGCCAGACGUCGGGUUGUCGUUAUCGAGCAAGACGUCGGGUUGUCGGUCUUGAGCAAGACGUCGGGUUGUCGGUCUUGAGCAAGACGACGGGUUAUCGCUUACCAUCUCGGACGAGAUGUCAUUUUGAGUUCGGGAAGUUGUUAAGGAUUUGUGGCGGCGGAGCCAUAAUCGAUCUGGUAGUGAAUAAUGACGUGGUCUUCGAUGGUUGAUCUUUUAUCAACAAAUAAGCACACAAUCCUCUUUAAGCGCUAUGAAGGUAAUGAAUAAUUGUAUUCCUGGUUGUAAGCCCUCAUAAACUCUAAAAGUCGGACCUUUGUGAAUGGCAUCGUAUAUGAAUACGAGCUCGCGCCACUAACAUGGUCAAGUGUCGCUUUUGCUGUGUAAAUGAUUAUGGAUUUCAACCGAAACGAGGUUGUAGUUGCUUUAUGAAGUAAGCGUAGAGAAAGCAUCUUGU